rnacentral:rRNA from 1 species
CCUACGGGGCGCAGCAGUGAGGAAUAUUGGUCAAUGGGCGGGAGCCUGAACCAGCCAAGCCGCGUGAGGGAAGAAGGUACAGCGUAUCGUAAACCUCUUUUGUCAGGGAACAAAGGCGGGGACUAGUCCCCGGAUGAGGGUACCGGAAGAAAAAGCAUCGGCUAACUCCGUGCCAGCAGCCGCGGUAAUACGGAGGAUGCGAGCGUUAUCCGGAUUUAUUGGGUUUAAAGGGGGCGCAGGCGGCCUGGUAAGUCAGCGGGAAAAGCCCGGGGCUCAACCCCGGCGAGCCGUUGAAACUGGCGGGCUGGAGUUGGAGAGAAGUACGCGGAAUGCGCGGUGUAGCGGUGAAAUGCUUAGAUAUCGCGCAGAACCCCGAUUGCGAAGGCAGCGUACCGGCUCCACACUGACGCUGAGGCACGAAAGCGUGGGUAUCGAACAGGAUUAGAUACCCGUGUAGUC